ACACAUGCAAGUCGAACGGUAACAUUUCUAGCUUGCUAGAAGAUGACGAGUGGCGGACGGGUGAGUAAUGCUUGGGAACUUGCCUUUGCGAGGGGGAUAACAGUUGGAAACGACUGCUAAUACCGCAUAAUGUCUUCGGACCAAACGGGGCUUCGGCUCCGGCGCAAAGAGAGGCCCAAGUGAGAUUAGCUAGUUGAUAAGGUAACGGCUUACCAAGGCGACGAUCUCUAGCUGUUCUGAGAGGAAGAUCAGCCACACUGGGACUGAGACACGGCCCAGACUCCUACGGGAGGCAGCAGUGGGGAAUAUUGCGCAAUGGGGGAAACCCUGAUGCAGCCAUGCCGCGUGUGUGAAGAAGGCCUUCGGGUUGUAAAGCACUUUCAGUUGUGAGGAAAAGUUAGUAGUUAAUACCUGCUAGCCGUGACGUUAACAACAGAAGAAGCACCGGCUAACUCCGUGCCAGCAGCCGCGGUAAUACGGAGGGUGCGAGCGUUAAUCGGAAUUACUGGGCGUAAAGCGCACGCAGGCGGUUUGUUAAGCUAGAUGUGAAAGCCCCGGGCUCAACCUGGGAUGGUCAUUUAGAACUGGCAGACUAAAGUCUUGGAGAGGGGAGU
rnacentral:rRNA from 1 species